rnacentral:rRNA from 1 species
UACGUAGGGUGCGAGCGUUAAUCGGAAUUACUGGGCGUAAAGCGUGCGUAGGCGGUUGGCAAAGUCAGCUGUGAAAUCCCCGGGCUUAACCUGGGAAUGGCAUUGGUGACUGCACGGCUAGAGUGUGUCAGAGGGGGGUAGAAUUCCACGUGUAGCAGUGAAAUGCGUAGAGAUGUGGAGGAAUACCGAUGGCGAAGGCAGCCCCCUGGGAUAACACUGACGCUCAUGCACGAAAGCGUGGGGAGCAAACAGG